UUAAGCGACUAAGCGUACACGGUGGAUGCCCUGGCAGUCAGAGGCGAUGAAGGACGUGCUAAUCUGCGAAAAGCGUCGGUAAGGUGAUAUGAACCGUUAUAACCGGCGAUGUCCGAAUGGGGAAACCCAGUGUGAUUCGUCACACUAUCGUUAACUGAAUACAUAGGUUAACGAGGCGAACCGGGGGAACUGAAACAUCUAAGUACCCCGAGGAAAAGAAAUCAACCGAGAUUCCCCCAGUAGCGGCGAGCGAACGGGGAGCAGCCCAGAGUCUGAAUCAGCUUGUGUGUUAGUGGAACGGUCUGGAAAGUCCGACGGUACAGGGUGAUAGUCCCGUACACCAAAAUGCACAGGUUGUGAACUCGAAGAGUAGGGCGGGACACGUGGUAUCCUGUCUGAAUAUGGGGGGACCAUCCUCCAAGGCUAAAUACUCCUGACUGACCGAUAGUGAACCAGUACCGUGAGGGAAAGGCGAAAAGAACCCCGGCGAGGGGAGUGAAAAAGAACCUGAAACCGUGUACGUACAAGCAGUGGGAGCACCUUCGGGUGUGACUGCGUACCUUUUGUAUAAUGGGUCAGCGACUUAUAUUCUGUAGCAAGGUUAACCGUAUAGGGGAGCCGCAGGGAAACCGAGUCUUAACUGGGCGUUAAGUUGCAGGGUAUAGACCCGAAACCCGGUGAUCUAGCCAUGGGCAGGUUGAAGGUUGGGUAACACUAACUGGAGGACCGAACCGACUAAUGUUGAAAAAUUAGCGGAUGACUUGUGGCUGGGGGUGAAAGGCCAAUCAAACCGGGAGAUAGCUGGUUCUCCCCGAAAGCUAUUUAGGUAGCGCCUCGUGAACUCAUCUUCGGGGGUAGAGCACUGUUUCGGCUAGGGGGUCAUCCCGACUUACCAACCCGAUGCAAACUACGAAUACCGAAGAAUGUUAUCACGGGAGACACACGGCGGGUGCUAACGUCCGUCGUGAAGAGGGAAACAACCCAGACCGCCAGCUAAGGUCCCAAAGUCAUGGUUAAGUGGGAAACGAUGUGGGAAGGCACAGACAGCCAGGAUGUUGGCUUAGAAGCAGCCAUCAUUUAAAGAAAGCGUAAUAGCUCACUGGUCGAGUCGGCCUGCGCGGAAGAUGUAACGGGGCUAAACCAUGCACCGAAGCUGCGGCAGCGACACUAUGUGUUGUUGGGUAGGGGAGCGUUCUGUAAGCCUGCGAAGGUGACCUGUGAGGGUUGCUGGAGGUAUCAGAAGUGCGAAUGCUGACAUAAGUAACGAUAAAGCGGGUGAAAAGCCCGCUCGCCGGAAGACCAAGGGUUCCUGUCCAACGUUAAUCGGGGCAGGGUGAGUCGACCCCUAAGGCGAGGCCGAAAGGCGUAGUCGAUGGGAAACAGGUUAAUAUUCCUGUACUUGGUGUUACUGCGAAGGGGGGACGGAGAAGGCUAUGUUAGCCGGGCGACGGUUGUCCCGGUUUAAGCAUGUAGGCUGAUUGUCCAGGCAAAUCCGGAUAAUCAAGGCUGAGGUGUGAUGACGAGGCACUACGGUGCUGAAGUAACAAAUGCCCUGCUUCCAGGAAAAGCCUCUAAGCAUCAGGUAACAUUAAAUCGUACCCCAAACCGACACAGGUGGUCAGGUAGAGAAUACCAAGGCGCUUGAGAGAACUCGGGUGAAGGAACUAGGCAAAAUGGUGCCGUAACUUCGGGAGAAGGCACGCUGGUGUGUAGGUGAAGUCCCUGCGGAUGGAGCUGAGACCAGUCGAAGAUACCAGCUGGCUGCAACUGUUUAUUAAAAACACAGCACUGUGCAAACACGAAAGUGGACGUAUACGGUGUGACGCCUGCCCGGUGCCGGAAGGUUAAUUGAUGGGGUUAUCCGUAAGGAGAAGCUCUUGAUCGAAGCCCCGGUAAACGGCGGCCGUAACUAUAACGGUCCUAAGGUAGCGAAAUUCCUUGUCGGGUAAGUUCCGACCUGCACGAAUGGCGUAAUGAUGGCCAGGCUGUCUCCACCCGAGACUCAGUGAAAUUGAACUCGCUGUGAAGAUGCAGUGUACCCGCGGCAAGACGGAAAGACCCCGUGAACCUUUACUAUAGCUUGACACUGAACAUUGAGCCUUGAUGUGUAGGAUAGGUGGGAGGCUUUGAAGCGUGGACGCCAGUCUGCGUGGAGCCAACCUUGAAAUACCACCCUUUAAUGUUUGAUGUUCUAACGUUGGCCCCUUACCGGGGUUGCGGACAGUGUCUGGUGGGUAGUUUGACUGGGGCGGUCUCCUCCCAAAGCGUAACGGAGGAGCACGAAGGUUAGCUAAUCCUGGUCGGACAUCAGGAGGUUAGUGCAAUGGCAUAAGCUAGCUUGACUGCGAGCGUGACGGCGCGAGCAGGUGCGAAAGCAGGUCAUAGUGAUCCGGUGGUUCUGAAUGGAAGGGCCAUCGCUCAACGGAUAAAAGGUACUCCGGGGAUAACAGGCUGAUACCGCCCAAGAGUUCAUAUCGACGGCGGUGUUUGGCACCUCGAUGUCGGCUCAUCACAUCCUGGGGCUGAAGUAGGUCCCAAGGGUAUGGCUGUUCGCCAUUUAAAGUGGUACGCGAGCUGGGUUUAGAACGUCGUGAGACAGUUCGGUCCCUAUCUGCCGUGGGCGCUGGAGAAUUGAGGGGGGCUGCUCCUAGUACGAGAGGACCGGAGUGGACGCAUCACUGGUGUUCGGGUUGUCAUGCCAAUGGCACUGCCCGGUAGCUAAAUGCGGAAGAGAUAAGUGCUGAAAGCAUCUAAGCACGAAACUUGCCCCGAGAUGAGUUCUCCCUGAGACUUUAAGUCUCCUGAAGGAACGUUAAAGACGAUGACGUUGAUAGGCCGGGUGUGUAAGCGCAGCGAUGCGUUGAGCUAACCGGUACUAAUGAACCGUGAGGCUUAACCU
rnacentral:rRNA from 1 species